rnacentral:lncRNA from 1 species
CUAAUUUGGGAUUUUUUUGGAACACGUGCAGGUACCAGUAGUGCGUUUCAGUUCCCCGAGGAAAAUUCAGGGAAAAUUAGGGAUAGCCUGCAAGCGCACUGCAAAGCCGUGUUCGGACCCCGAAAACGAGUAAGGACCCCUCACCCUAUUUCCUAUCACGGUAUUAAAGUUCAAAAUGAUAAAAUGGUAUUUCUUGAAUUAACGAAUGUGUAAAAUUGCUUAAGGUUGCUAAUGGAGCCCGAGUCUAGUGUGAUUGAUGAUUUACUGUUAUUUGGCCUGUUUUACAGCUUUAAAUCCAGUAUGAGGUUUGAUGUGUUUAUUUUAUAGUUUCGUGUGCAUAUAUUACGUUUUUAUUGGUUAUGGGUUGAAUAACUGAAAAAAACUGAUACCGUAUGUUGUCUGUUUGGCAUG